GACGAACGCUGGCGGCGUGCUUAACACAUGCAAGUCGAACGGGCUGAAGUGAUAGCUUGCUAUUAUGGAUGCUAGUGGCAAACGGGUGAGUAACGCGUAGGCAACCUGCCCUUCAGAUGGGGACAACACUUCGAAAGAGGUGCUAAUACCGAAUGACGUAUCCGAUCCGCAUGGAUUGGAAACCAAAGCUUUAUGUGCUGAAAGAUGGCCUCGCGUCUGAUUAGAUAGUUGGUAGGGUAACGGCCUACCAAGUCAACGAUCAGUAGCCGGUCUGAGAGGAUGAACGGCCACAUUGGGACUGAGAUACGGCCCAG
rnacentral:rRNA from 1 species